UACGGAGGGUGCAAGCGUUGUCCGGAUUUAUUGGGUUUAAAGGGUGCGUAGGCGGCCCGUUGAGUCAGUGGUGAAAGCCUCCAGCUCAACUGGAGAACUGCCAUUGAUACUGGCGGGCUUGAGUACAGACGAGGUUGGCGGAAUUGAUUGUGUAGCGGUGAAAUGCAUAGAUACAAUCAAGAACUCCGAUUGCGUAGGCAGCUAACUAGGCUGUAACUGACGCUGAGGCACGAAAGCGUGGGGAGCGAACAGG
rnacentral:rRNA from 1 species